CUCUCCCCAUCUGUGAGUGACAUUCACCUGGUUAUGACGAACGCAGGUGCUCAGACAUAUCAAAUAUUUCCCUGUCAAACUUUAUCAGUACAAAGGGACGGCAACUUUCACACCGGACUUAAGUGAUAUAUACAUACAUGUAGUGGACGCGGCACCCGAUUUGUCCCAAUAUCAACAACUUCUACUCAACUAAAGACACGCAAAAUCUCCCCUUUAUUUAUAUACGUCGGCUGUACCACUACCGGACAACAAGUCGUAUGGUGCCUUCCCACAAGUCACCUGAUACUAGGCGACAAUUGAGAUGUACUUCAAAUGAGAUGUCCCAGUUGUCAAUUAAAUUACCAGUCUAGAAUAUCAAACUUUAAGUGGAUUAGAUAGACGAUUACAUAAUCUUUUGCCUAUGUGAUAGGCGUUAGAGGACGUUCUUCGGAAUAACUGUGAGGAUAUAAUCUAUGCCAUGAAAAAAAUACUGAUAAGUCUACUUAUAAUCGGACUCCUGAUAAUUUGCCCCACGGUAUCGCGGUCUCGCAGGGUUAAGAGAGGAGGGUGCAGCGGCGGAAGUCGGAAAGACACCAUGGACGCCUGUGAGUUUAUGUGCGAGAUGGGAGCCAAGAGUCGAAGUCAAGUAGUCCAAUGCAGAAACAGGUGUGUAAUGGAGCAAUGCGGUGGUAGACGAAGACGAAGUAUGGAUAGCGGUCUUGAUUACGCAUUUGCCGAAAUUUUACAAAAGGAGUGGGAUGGGUAUUUAAUGUAGAUCAAGAAAGGAGGCGAUUGGUGGAUGGAUGAAAUAUGAUACUUUGUAACCAAUUUCAUAUAUACAUUGCGGAGUAACUUCUAAGAUUGAUAUGCGAGGCGCUCUACUGGUAUUACUAUACUUGGUGUUACUUGUGUACAUGCAUAAUGCAUUGCAUCCAGACAUGUCAAAGUUCCCCAUGGACUUUCAUUAUAAGUAGCCUAUUUUGCCAUAAAUUAAACAGAAACUGAUUUCGGUUGACAUGUUGACAAAACUUGAAUCAAGCCGCCUACAUCGCCAUCAAUGUACCAGCCUUCAUAUACAGGAUUUUUCAGGAUAUGUUUUCCCCCAGUGUUUGCUUGCUGGUAUUGGAGUUUAUCCGCAACAGACACCGCAUGAACAGCUCGUAAAUAAAAUGGGGAAAAUCAAGCAUCACAUUGUUCUCUAUUCAAAGACUAGAGAAUUGUGAAUAGAACAUUAUGAAUGGGCUAAUUUUCUCCAUUUUGCAUCGUUAGGAUAUUCAUCAUUUCGAAACAGGCGCAAUCUUUGUUUUGUGCGCAUGCAUACUCACUUCUUUCUGCCGACCUCGAUCCAGGCGAUGACCUUGCAUGCCUACAACAGUGGAAUUCACCGAAAGUAAGUCUCCUGAAACGAGGCUAGUAGUAACAAAAACAUGAAAAAAAGAUGUUGUCUUGGAUAUUUGUCGAGUGAAAACGAAAUUAUAAUGGUGAUGGCCACGUACAUCUUUUUUUACCUUUAAUAUUUGUUUUCGUUUUAAACCAGUAAGACAUACUGUUAUCAACGUACAGAAUACUAGGCUUACCAAUACAUAAAUUCUAUUUUGUGACCUGUCGGUAAGGGUGUUGUUGCGAUUCUGGACCUUGUCAGAAGGUCAGACGUCAUUCAUUAUGAGCGGAUGCGUUGGGUAAAGCGUGUAUAUACUCUAGUUUCACCCAUCUGACACCGGAUGAUAAAUUACUAUAAAAUCGAAACAAAGGCCAAGCCCUAUCAUGACGUCAUGACAAUCAGAUAACUUGGUGUUGCCAACCAAUUGUUUAUCCAAAUAUUGAACAUGUUAAAUGGCACAAAACGACCAUGUACAUAAUACGCACAUGCUUAAAUUUAAUAUUCAGAGCAGUCUCAGAUUGUUGAAUCUAGAAUUAAUUACUCCGUAAACCUGCCGCGAAAUUUUUUUAUCCGCCGUAAAAUCGACCCGAAAAAGAUUCGGUCGAAAACAAACCGUCAUCUGUUCCUAAUUGGCUGAGACGAAAUUUUACGGCCAGAUUUUACGGUAGGUUUUCGCAGGGGAUAUAUUUUAAGAAAGGUUUAUGCGCGGGGUAAUUUAUCGGCCAUAUCUGAUUUAUGUCCCUGCCGCCAUUAAUGUACACGCGUAUCGUUCUCCCAAGAAAAGAUAUCCAAACUACGUAGGCCCUAUUCACGUUACUUGAAAAAAAUCCCCGAAUGGUCAGCAAAAACAUAUUUUUAAUAUUUGCCUAUCAAUAUUAGUAAUUUUCCAUCACAUCCUCAGACAGGAAGUCACCUGUCAGCCAUCUUGGCUUUUCCUGUUUGUUGAUUGUUGGGAAAAUUGGAAAUCAAUUAAAAGUAAUGAGGCCUCAUUCUAUUUACUUUUUGAUGAGGUUACCGCGGAUCAUCGUUUUAAAGAAGUGUUUAAGGACGAACCAAUUUGCAGCUGCUGUCUUAGCAGCUGCCUGAGAAAAGACUGAGGUGAAUUUGGCUAACACCAGACUGAAUGGAACACCCUGUAUAGUCUACUCCUGGCGGUUCAGUAAAACAAUUACUGAUUCAUACCCUACAUUGUCCUCAAUUGUUGCAUCAUGUCAAUAUCGUCGUCCUUCAUUAAAAGAAUGUAAAAAUAUUCCGGAUUCAGAGAAAUAAAGGUUUAUUUCAAGUA